rnacentral:rRNA from 1 species
UACGGAAGGCAGCAGUGGGGAAUAUUGCACAAUGGGCGCAAGCCUGAUGCAGCCAUGCCGCGUGUAUGAAGAAGGCCUUCGGGUUGUAAAGUACUUUCAGUCGUGAGGAAGGUGUUAAGGUUAAUAACCUUAGCAAUUGACGUUAGCGACAGAAGAAGCACCGGCUAACUCCGUGCCAGCAGCCGCGGUAAUACGGAGGGUGCGAGCGUUAAUCGGAAUUACUGGGCGUAAAGGGCACGCAGGCGGUUAAUUAAGUUGGAUGUGAAAUCCCCGGGCUUAACCUGGGAAUGGCAUUCAAGACUGGUUAGCUAGAGUCUUGUAGAGGGGGUUAGAAUUCCAUGUGUAGCGGUGAAAUGCGUAGAGAUGUGGAGGAAUACCGGGUGGCGAAGGCGGCCCCUGGGACAAAGGCUGACGCUCAUGUGCGAAAGCGUGGGGAGCGAAACAGGGAUUAGAUA